rnacentral:rRNA from 1 species
CCGGAAUUGCUAGUAAUGGCAGGUCAGCAUACUGCCGUGAAUACGUUCCCGGGCCUUGUACACACCGCCCGUCACACCAUGAGAGUUGGGAAUACCCGAAGCCUGUGAGCUAACUUUUAGAGGCAGCAGUCGAAGGUAGAAUCAAUGAUUGGGGUGAAGUCGUAACAAGGUACC